rnacentral:rRNA from 1 species
AGAGUUUGAUCAUGGCUCAGAUUGAACGCUGGCGGCAUGCCUUACACAUGCAAGUCGAACGGUAACGGGCCUUCGGGUGCCGACGAGUGGCGAACGGGUGAGUAAUGUAUCGGAACGUACCUUUCAGUGGGGGAUAACGUAGCGAAAGUUACGCUAAUACCGCAUAUUCUGUGCGCAGGAAAGCAGGGGAUCGCAAGACCUUGCGCUGAUUGAGCGGCCGAUAUCAGAUUAGCUAGUUGGUGAGGUAAAGGCUCACCAAGGCGACGAUCUGUAGCGGGUCUGAGAGGAUGAUCCGCCACACUGGAACUGAGACACGGUCCAGACUCCUACGGGAGGCAGCAGUGGGGAAUUUUGGACAAUGGGGGCAACCCUGAUCCAGCCAUGCCGCGUGAGUGAAGAAGGCCUUCGGGUUGUAAAGCUCUUUCGGCCGGGAAGAAAUCGCAUGGGCUAAUACCCUGUGCGGAUGACGGUACCGGCAUAAGAAGCACCGGCUAACUACGUG